AUUGGAGUAUCGCUGUCACAGGUGCUGAAACAGAAUCCAAGUCCUGAGCCAGGCACCAGCCAGUCCAAGCGGUCCCAUAUGAUCGUCUAGUUCCGGGGGCCCAUGUGUCAGCCAGGAGGCGUCGAGUUGCACCCGAAACUCCUUGGAUAUCCCUUGGAUCCCGUAAGUCCUCCAUGCAAGUAGCAGCAACGACCCAUCCAGAAGAAGUGGGUGUCGUUGGCCCAAUGGGUCCAGCAGAAGAUCCUGGCAGAAGUCUGGGUACAUCUAUCGCCAGUUUCAGGAGUUGUGGGAACCACGACUGGGUCCCCCAGAAUGGAGUCAGUAGGACCAAGUCGGCUAUCUGGCGUCGUACUUGGAGUAGAACCUGAGGAAUCAUGGCAAAUGGAGGGAAGACGUAAAAGGGUGAGUCGGUCCAGUCUUGUAGGAAGCGAAGAGGUCGAUGGUAAAAGGUCUCCAGAGAGACGAGAUAGCAAAGAAC